UGGAAGAGAGAGAGAGGAUCUCUACCUCUUGCUGUAACUCACAGUCUCUCUCAGUGUGAUCUGUAUAACCAUGGUACUCUGUCUGAUCAUCUGUCUGGUUCUUGUUGUUUUCUGCUUAGAGUGCACAGCAGACCAUGUUCAACAGCAACCAGGAGGUGUGAUUGCUACAGAAGGAGGACUGGUAACACUGAGUUGCCAAUAUAACACCAGUGCUAAUAAUGCAUAUCUAUAUUGGUUCAAACAAGAAGAAAAUGACUUCCCUAAAUACAUGCUGAGCCGUUAUUCAUUUGGAUCUGGAGACAAUGCUACAGGGUUCAAGGAGAGAUUUGAUGCCCGUCUCGAUGCGGACUCAAAAUCAGUCCCCUUGACGAUCCAGAGGGUGCAGCUGUCUGACUCUGCUGUGUACUACUGUGCCCUGCAGCCCACAGUGAGAGGAAACCUGUGAAGACUCUACAAAAACCUGGAGAAAAAAACUGACAUCCCCUAGACA